GAAUUUGUGAAAAUGAAGAUGAAAUUUACCUGAAAAAAAAAAGAAAAAGAAAAGAUUAAUUAUAAACUAUUUGUUAGGAUCUGUGUUCAUUUGGAAGAGAUGAUCCAAACUAUUAAUAAACUAUCUAUCUAUCUAUCUAUCUAUCUAUCUAUCUAUCUAUCUAUCUAUCUAUCUAUCUAUCUAUCUAUCUAUCUAUCUAUCUAUCUAUCUAUCUAUCUAUCUAUCUAUCUAUCUAUCUAUCUAUCUAUCUAUCUAUCUAUCUAUGUGCCUUGAACUCAGGUUGGUAUUUGUGUGCUCACAGGGUGGAGGUUUGGUUCAGACUGUAAACACAUGUACAGAUCACAUCCAUUUGAACUCCACAAAGCUCAGGCUACAAGAGUUUUCAUCUGAAAUAGUGUUAACGACCAAAUUCAAUGAUGAUUUCAAUUAAUCAAAUCAAAUUCAUUUACUCCAAAAGUAGCCUGGAAGGGAUUUUGGAGUAUGAUUACUCCAAAAGUACACAGUAACAGUAGUUUAUAGUAUUUGUGCUAAAAGUAUAUGCAGUACUAAUACCAAAAAUACCAGUUUUGUGAAAUGCUUAUGGAGGAAAACGUUUUUAUUUCAUGUUAAAAAUAGUUUUGAAACCAUUUGAGCCAAUUUAUUUUCUGUAAUUGUCAGAUAAAUAGUGCACAUGAAAAACACUAGGGCUGGUUUGAGCACAGUGAAUAGAAGUUAGCAGCACCGUUUAGCUUAGUUUAGCUGAGCUUAGCUUGUCUUAGUUCAGAUUAUUUCUGUCAGUUCAUCCAUUUCUUAGCUGAAUGUAGAAUGUCAGAUGUCAUAUGGAAGUGGAUCUGUCUAAACCCAGUCAGGAUAUGAAAGUUGUUCUGAUAUUAAACUGUAAAACCGUUUCAUAUGAGUUGAGUUGAGUUGUGCUGGAGCUAAGCUAAGCUAAGCUAACAUGGAGGCUUUCCAAGCUAACAUGGCGCCGUGUGUUCUACUGCUGUGGAUGUGUUGACACAUGACUGACAUGGAUUCAAGCAGUUGGACUGAAAUUCAACACUAUUCAAUGGGUGCAGGUAUUUGGAUCCUGAAAACAAAGAGCUUUGACCAAACAGAAGUUUGUUCCAGUGUACUUCAAGUAUACUUGGUUUCAACUAAAAACAGUACCAGUAUGCUUUCACUUUACUUUCUAUGCACUUAUCACACAUAUACUUCACUAAGUUCAUGUUAAGUAUACUUGGCUUGGAAUAAAAAUUAGACUAAAAGUCUAAGUAUAUUUUACCUACACUUAAACUUUUCAAUUAGAAUAUACUUAAAAAUUGAGAUAUCCUUCAGUAUUUGUGCCUUAGGUUUAAGUAUACUUGUACUUGUACUUGUGCUUAUCCUUUUCUGAUUAGUCUGUUAUAUUUUCACACAUACUGUUUUUUUGUGGUUAUACUGCAAGAUAUUUUAUUUCAUUAUACUGGCAUAAAAUAUGUUUGUUUAAAAGAAAAAAGUACAAUUCAAGAACCCCCAAAGUAAUCCUGAUCCCAACAGUACCCACAUUCUUUGUGGAACAGAUAAUGUGAGGAUGGUCUCCAGCCUGGGAACAUGAUGUGAAACAUUUCCAGAAACGUAGUGAGUGUUUGAGCAGUGAAAGUGCAGCGACAGCAGCAGAUGGGAAUGAGCAUCACUAACCUGUGUCCUUCUGAAAGUGGAGCUCCAGGAUACCAGGGCUGGUCUCCAGGAUCUGCUCUGUCUGCACUCUGGGAGCUUGUUUUCUUCCUCCUCUUCUUCACUGUUGGAGGUGUUUGGGUCCUCCUCUGUAUGUGUCUGCUCAGCUUCACUGUUAUUCUCCAGGUUGACGAAGGAGGAAAAAAAAACAAUCUUUUCCCAGUAAAACUACCACAGUAACAACACAUGACAAUUUGCCCGGUCAUCAAAAACCAUAGAAUUAUUCCAAAACUAUGGUAAACAUAGUAGGCAGACCGUCUGACCGUUCAAAACGACACGAAUUGGCGUCUUUUCAGACCGCGGCGCCAUCUUGUUUCCCUUCCUUUCUCGUGACGUAGCUUCCCUCGCGACAUUUGAAAUGAGGCUGAGGCUACAUAUGAGGUCAGCUGACUUUCCAAAUGACAGUUGUCCAGACUAAAUGACCUUUCACCCACCGACGCAGGAGCUUUGACAGAAGAAGUUUGCCAGUUGUUUUGUUGAUACUCGGGCCCACUGUGCAACAAGUUGUAACAUUGACUGUGUUAUUUCAGACUGUUGUCCAGGGGCCUGUUUCACCAAACCAGGAUUCCGUCAUCCAGGAUGACUGACUAAGCCGCGCUCAACGAAUCCAAAACAUGGGAGUCCAGCCUUAAUCGGUUUCACAAAGACCAAGCCAGGAUGAACGGACACGGAUUCAUCAGCAGGUGGAACUCAUCCUGGAUAAGUGCGCGCACCGGAUCCCUUAAACAGACCCCGACAUCGAUCGCAGAUUCACCGAUCCACCGUGGCAACGCGAGCGGCGUACUGUUCCCCCUCUGAGGCAGAGCUACUCAUGGAAGCGUACGAGGAGGUGAAGGACAUAAUUACAAAGAAAGGAAACACCGCCACAGUAAGAAAACAACCUGAGAAAGAGUGGCAAAGCAUUGUAGACCGCCUGAAUGUGUAAGUAGUGCACAAAUACACACCCACUGCUUCGCUGAAACCGUCGCAAUCACAACCCAAAUAGUUUAUCAGCAUCUCCGAAAGUUGUACUAUCAUUACGAAUCAGAGGAAACUGGAUGUGAGAGUGUGUAAAUGGAACUAUAUGAGACUGGAGAACUGUGAUGAAUAAAUGAACUCACUGACGUCUUUGACUGACCUUUGGGAUAAAGACAUCCAAUGACUCAUCAUCUUCCCUUAUGUUUAAUCUGUGUGUGUGUGUGUGUGUGUGUGUGUGUGUGUGUGUGUGUAUGAAUGAAUGUAUAUGUGUAUGAAUGUAUGUGUCUGUGUGCAUGUAUGUAUGAAUUUAUAUGUGUGUGUAUGUGUGCAUGUAUAGAUCCAACAUGACUGGGCCAAAACGCACAUGGCAGCAAGUCCCAGUAAAAUACAAGAACAUCCUGCAGACUGCUGUCAAAAAGAAAACCCACCAGCAGGGUACGGGUGCUGGGUCACCAACAGCUGACCUCACCUCAGCAGAGGACAUGGCUUUGGCCCAGAACAAAGGCAGGCCUGUGUUGGAGGGGAUCCCUGGGGGGACAGACCCAUACAUGUGUCCCUCCCAAGAUGCCACCUGCUUCAUACAAGUUUCUGGUGGCACCGUCACACUGUUGGACCCACCGACACCAGGGUCACCAACACAUACGUUAGACGAUGCUGAUCCAGUGAGUACUCCAUCAAAGGCAUACUGUAGGCUUGGCGUGGCUCGUUUACGAUCUUCAAUAAGAAUCCCAUUAAAUGUGAUGGGGUGAAGGCACCAGUGGAGCAGCAGCAGCAGCAGAUGAGGAGACCAGCUCUGUGGAUUCCAGGAGGGACGAGGACCCAGAUGUUGUACAGGGAGAAGGCCAGCCCGGCAACACAGUGACUAUUCAUGGAAGGACGUUGCUGUUCGGCACAUUGCCCACUGUGCUAACUGUUAUGUGUUCACAGAACUCCCAAGCAAUCAGACGGUUGUAUGCCGACCAUCGCCGGCGGCAAAUACAACUGACUGAAUUGGAUAUCCAGUACAAAACAAAAAAAAGAUGGACAACCUCACACUGGACGCAGAAAUAAAAAAAGAGGAUGUGAAGAAAAUUGGAGCUGGAAAUCCAAAAACUUGAGCGGGAGGUGAGUUCUGCCUUCAAUGCACUGUAUGGCAACUGGAACACAAACACUGUAUUAGUCAUGAGUUUCCUUUCCUCCAUCAGCUCCGAGAGGACACAGAUUAAUAGAUUCAAAUCAAAGUUCAAAUGGAAUUUUGGUGGUGUGUGUGUGUUCAAUGUAUGCACAGUUAGGGUUACCAUAGAGACGACACUAGGCACACAGAUGAUGGAAUCUGUCUUCCUACCUAAGUGCUGUGAUUGGUUAGAAGUUGAAAGGCCGGCUGUAUUAUUAAGGCCAGAAGAAAGGCACAUAAUGUACCCUAAAAUGCAGUUCCUCAGAUAUAUCCAAACACCUUAUGGCAGUAAAAAGUGAGUGUAGGGAACAGUUUUAAUAGUCAUCAUGAAUCAUCAGUUCUUUCAGGUAGUAGGUAACAUGAGAACUAAAUCAGCAGCUUGUGAGGUGUGAGGGUGUAAAGGUGUUCCUCGUAAAGUCAAGUGAGCCAAUAGCCAAUAGAA